CGUUAUGGCGGCUGUGCGCGGGACACCUUCGGGUGUGCCGGGAUCCUGUAUCCCCGGUCGGCCAACCCGCGUACAGUCGCCCCCAUC
rnacentral:antisense_RNA from 1 species